rnacentral:rRNA from 1 species
UACGUAGGGUGCGAGCGUUAAUCGGAAUUACUGGGCGUAAAGCGUGCGCAGGCGGUCUGUUAAGACAGAUGUGAAAUCCCCGGGCUUAACCUGGGAACUGCAUUUGUGACUGGCAGGCUAGAGUAUGGCAGAGGGGGGUAGAAUUCCACGUGUAGCAGUGAAAUGCGUAGAGAUGUGGAGGAAUACCGAUGGCGAAGGCAGCCCCCUGGGCCAAUACUGACGCUCAUGCACGAAAGCGUGGGGAGCAAACGAG